rnacentral:rRNA from 1 species
AUACGGAGGGUGCGAGCGUUACUCGGAGUCACUGGGCGUAAAGCGUCCGUAGGCGGUCGGGUAAGUCGGGUGUGAAAGCCCCGGGCUCAACCUGGGAAGUGCACCCGAUACUGCUCGACUCGAGUGCGGGAGAGGAUGGCGGAAUUCCCGGUGUAGCGGUGAAAUGCGUAGAGAUCGGGAGGAACACCGGUGGCGAAGGCGGCCAUCUGGCCCGCAACUGACGCUGAGGGACGAAAGCGUGGGGAGCAAACAGGAUUAGAUACCCUAGUAGUCC